rnacentral:lncRNA from 1 species
GGGUCGACGCGAGGGGCACGAGGCGUCGAUGCGGAGGAGGAGAGGGGCAGUGCGGGGUCGACGCGGAGGAGAGAGGCGGUGCGGGGUCGAUGCGAGGGGCGGCGCGGCGUCGAUGCGGAGGAGGAGAGGGGCGGCGCGGCAGCUGCGGACGAGCGGCGGCGGCGGCGGAAACGGAUGGGGAGAGAUUGAGGCGGCUGCGGAUGGGGAGCAGCGGCGACUGGAUGCCGGACGCGGAGUCGGCGG